GUAGCUGUAGCUGAGUGGCAGAGCACUUGCCUCACAUGCAUGAGGCACUGGGUUUGAUCCUCAGCACCACA
rnacentral:tRNA from 1 species